GAUGAACGCUGGCGGCGUGCCUAAUACAUGCAAGUCGAGCGAACGGACGAGUAGCUUGCUUCUCUGAUGUUAGCGGCGGACGGGUGAGUAACACGUGGAUAACCUACCUAUAAGACUGGGAUAACUUCGGGAAACCGGAGCUAAUACCGGAUAAUAUUUUGAACCGCAUGGUUCAAAAGUGAAAGACGGUCUUGCUGUCACUUAUAGAUGGAUCCGCGCUGCAUUAGCUAGUUGGUAAGGUAACGGCUUACCAAGGCAACGAUGCAUAGCCGACCUGAGAGGGUGAUCGGCCACACUGGAACUGAGACACGGUCCAGACUCCUACGGGAGGCAGCAGUAGGGAAUCUUCCGCAAAGGGCGAAAGCCUGACGGAGCAACGCCGCGUGAGUGAUGAAGGUCUUCGGAUCGUAAAACUCUGUUAUUAGGGAAGAACAUAUGUGUAAGUAACUGUGCACAUCUUGACGGUACCUAAUCAGAAAGCCACGGCUAACUACGUG
rnacentral:rRNA from 1 species